UGUAAUAAGCUGUAUUUGAAGUGGGACGUUUUACAUCCAAUCACAGCCAUGAUGUAAACACAUAAAUCAGACUAUACACAGGCAAUUUAGUGAUAUUGCUGCAGUUGACUGGUCUUCAAAUAAAAUCAUGAGUCCUCUUCAUCCGAGACAAGACCUAGUAAAAAUGUGGUUGAUUCCGAGACGAGAACUUCAAAAAGUGGUCUUGAGACCAAGACCCAUCUUGAGUACACA